GGGGAACAUAAAGUUACCCGCAAUGGGCACCAGUGGUGAGGCAGGAGGCUUGAGUUCAGGAAUUCUGGGCUGUCAUGCACUGUGUCCAAGCCUAUGUCUGCACUAAGUUUGGCAUCAAUAUGGUGACCUUCCAGAGUGGGGUGACCACCAGGUUGCCUAAGGAGAGGUGAACCAGCCCAGGUCAGAAAGGAAACAAGUCAAAACUUCCAUGCUGAUUAGCGAGAUUGGGCCUGUGAAUAGCCACUGCACUCCAGGCUGGGCAACAUAGUGAGACCCCACCU
rnacentral:SRP_RNA from 1 species